rnacentral:rRNA from 1 species
CCUACGGGCGGCAGCAGUGAGGAAUAUUGGUCAAUGGGCGGAAGCCUGAACCAGCCAAGUCGCGUGAGGGAUUAAGGCCCUGCGUGUCGUAAACCUCUUUUGCCGGGGAGCAGAGGUCCGGACGUGUCUGGGCCGGGAGAGUACCCGGAGAAAAAGCAGCGGCUAAUUCCGUGCCAGCAGCCGCGGUAAUACGGAGGAUGCGAGCGUUAGCCGGAGUUAGUGGGUUUAAAGGGUGCGUAGGCGGGCACUUUAGCCGGCGGUCAAAUGUCGGGGCUCAACCCCGGCCUGCCGUCGGAACUGGGUGCCUUGAGUGGGCGAGAGGUAUGCGGAAUGCGUGGUGUAGCGGUGAAAUGCAUAGAUAUCACGCAGAACCCCGAUUGCGAAGGCAGCAUACCGGCGCCCUACUGACGCUGAGGCACGAAAGUGCGGGUAUCGAACAGGAUUAGAUACCCGUGUAGUC